UGCAUCGACGUCGUUCGGGCGCAACGUGCAAACGCAAUACGAGGGAGGGGGGCUAAAACAACCAAAGAGCGUGCAACACAGCAUAAACGACGCCUGAAAAAGAACGGACCCGUCAGCGCACUGCUCACCGGCUCGUCCAACGGCACAGGCGCCACCACGACGAGGCGAGACAUCCGCGGAGCCGCUUAUUCCCAAGAUACACGACCCGGCUGCGCGUGUGCGUGGGCGCUGCUAAUCAUCUCGGCCAAAGUCAAGGGGGGUGUAGGUAUUCUGCUGGUGGCGGGCAGACCCGAGCUCUCUGUUCACCCACACACGCACCGACGCAUUCGCCGCAACUGCCACCACACAGAGAGGCAGAGACCCCCCUCCGAAGGUCAUUCAUUCCACAGAGAUAGGAAGAAGAGAGGAGGAGGGAAAACUCAGCGGACUGGCACUCGUGAGCUUGACCGCGCCACUGCUACACGGUGCUCACCACAUUAUCUGAGUCUGUCUGUUCGUUUUCUUAGAUGGUUUCUUCGCUGGCGUUACUGCCGACAGUGCGCGCGCGUCAUCUUUUGUUUGCCCGUCGUCCGCCAAGAGCGAGAAGGAAGGAGGGAAGGCGGUGAAAGACACACACACACACGUGCACACUUGCAUACGUAGGCCACCGCGAAAAAAUGGAGAAGUAUACGCAGUUGAAGGUGCUCGGCAAGGGCAGCUUCGGCUCCGCCUGGCUCAUCCAGCGCAAUGCAGAUCGCGCGCAGUUCGUGGCGAAAGAGGUUCGGCUUGGUGGCUUGAAGCCUGCGGAGCGAGAAAGCGCGCAGAAGGAGAUCGAUAUGCUGCGCACGCUGAACCACCCAAACAUCACCCGCUACGUUGACCACUUUGAACACAAGGGCUCGCUUUUCAUUGUCAUGGAGUACGCCAACGGCGGUGACCUGUACAUGAGGAUCAAGCAGCAGCAGGGCCAGCUCUUCUCGGAGAAGGGGAUUCUGCAGUGCUUUUCGCAGAUCUGCCUGGCGCUGUCGUACAUGCACGAGCGCCGCAUCCUCCACCGCGACCUCAAGACGCAAAACGUGUUCUUGACCAAGGACGGCGUUGUGAAGGUCGGUGAUUUUGGCAUCAGCACUGUGUUGCGCAACACUUAUGAGUUGAAGCACACGAUCUGCGGCACCCCCUACUAUUUCUCGCCGGAGCUGUGCCUCAACAAACCCUACAACAACAAGAGCGAUGUGUGGGCACUCGGGUGCAUCCUGUACGAGAUGACCACCCUGAACCACGCCUUCGACGGCAGCAACAUGAAGGCGUUGGUGCAGAAGAUUCUCAAGGGCGUGUACCCGCCGAUCCAUCCCAUGUACUCGAGCAACCUGUCGCGACUCAUUUCUUCCAUGCUGCAGAUUGACCCUCACAAGCGGCCGAACGUGUCGCAGGUGCUGGAUCUCAGCUUCAUUCGCGAGGCUCUAGCGGGACUACGGGAAGAGGUGCAAGUGGCACGCGCAGACCGCCGCUCCGUCGUCUCGGUCGAGGAGCGGGCGCACAUGCAGGAGGCCGCGGCCCGGCGCAAGGAAGAGUACCGCCGGAAGGAACUGGAAGCCGCGGCAACUCUGGCUAAGGCGCAGCAGCAGCAGCAGGCCAUCCUCAUGCAGCAGCAGCUCGAGGGAGAGGAGCGGCGGCGCAAUUUAGUGGAGCAGCAGAGGCGACUCCAGCGGCAGCAGGAGCUUGCCCUGCAGGAACGCAAGCGUGCCCUGGACGAGCGAGUGCGGGAGCAGCGCAAGCUGCAAGGGCAAAAAUCCAAGGCGGACGCCAAGGCGCAUCACCAUCGUGAGAAGCAGUGGGACGACAACAUGAAGGAGCAGGUAAUCGAGGAGCAGCGCCGCCGCGAGGCUGAGGAGCACCACCCUCGCUCUGACUGCCAGAGCCCCCCGCAGCUGCAACAGGAGCGGCUACAGCAGCAGCAGGAGCAGUCCGCCGCGGAGGCGUACCGUGAGAUGCGACGACAGGCAGCAGCAAACAAGCAGCGCUGCUACCGAGAGUCUGUUUUUCCGGGCGGAGCACCUUGCUCGCAGCAGCGACAGCAAGGCGAGUCUUCAGCAGUGCCGCCCGGACAGCCGCCACCGCCGCGCACCCCUCCCUCGAGCAGCCAUUACUGCUCGCGCAAGAUGACGCCAGAGGAGCUGGAGGAUGCGCGGUCACAGGCGUUUUGGCAGAUGCGGCGCGAGGCCAUGGAUAACCGAAAAAAGAUGCUGGGCCACGACGUCACAGACACCGGCGAGCCACGGGCACCGACGUCGGCGGAGGCCGCGCCUGGCGCCUCGCCGGCUUCCUCGAAUGGCAAGAGCGCAUCCGUCGCUUCAGUCCCUGCACCGCCGCAGAUGAGUACGCUGCCUCCACCAUCGUCAGCAGCAGCGGAAGAGACGAAACCGACAAAGAAAUCGAUGUCGCGCAAGGAUAAGUUCACACCAGAGAGCACGGGCGCACAGCUGCCGACGCCGUCGCCAGCACCUGCAGUGCUGCUGCCUCCUGGCGCUGCCGCUGCCGCCGUGCCGCAGGAGGUGGAUAACGGCAUGACGCCGGAUGGAGAGGAGGGGCUGCACAACUUCUUGAACGGUGAGGCGGCGGCUGCGUCGCCGACGGAGGCCGAGGACCGCCGGCGAGACGACGACUACAACGCGCUGGAUACGGUCAUUGGCGAGACGUUGAAGGCGGAUCGCAAAAAGAACUUCAAGGACGACUUCGACGACGCCGCCUUCGGCGAGGCGACAGACCCCAGUAGGCUGGUGCUGGACGGUAAGACGUUCCACCUGCCGAAUGUGAGCGCCACCGACCCGCUCAUGCACCGCAUCGAGUCCCUGCGCAUAUUCCUCGAGAAGGAGAUGGGCGACGACGACCUCAUCAAAUGCUACCGAGCCAUGAACAACAUCUCUGCCAGCGAUGAUGAGGUAAUGCACCAGCUGCAGAGCGCGCUGCCACCGUCGAAGCAGCGCUUCAUCCCGCUAGUCGCGCAUCUCGUCGUGUGCGAAGACGCCUUCAACCGCCAGGGCGCCUCCUCCUCCGCCUCCGCCUCCGCAAUCGGGCUUUGAGCGGUGCGCGCACCCCGCAUGUAUGGGCUUGCGUACGUGUUGGUGUUGGUAUGCGCAUGUGCGCGUACAUCUGUGCGUUGGAUGCCAAGCCUCCAAUCCGCACGCGCAUUCACAGCGCACGGCCUUCCUCCUCUCUCACCUUCAUCCUAAAUCUGCAUUGUUCUUCUUUUCCUCUGUGUGUGUGUGUGUAUGUGUGUGACGUUGCGUGGCCCGGGUCUUGUGCCCUCUACCUCCCUCCCUCCAACUCUCUUCACGUGUACACUGCUCAUGAUGUUUCUUUGUUUUUUAGCUACCUCUUCUGUCUUGCAACACCACAGGCGGAUGUGUCGUGGUGUCUGUGUUUGUCUUUGUGCGUGCAACGUAGAGGUAAAGCCUGCUGUGGGGUGCAAGGGGAGAAUGACAGGCACUGCGAGAAGAAGCGCAGCCAUGGUUGCAUAGUAGGCAUGCAGUGCAAUACGGGUGGGUUAGGCGAGGGUGCGGGCCGACGUGCGCACUCCGUCACAGUGACUGAUGCAGACAAGGCGCAGGGGCGCCGCUUCGACCUUUUCGUGUGCUUCGUUUCCCACUUGUGCACCCACGCUCCACCCUUCCACCCCUUCCCUCCGCAUGACAUUAUGUAUUUGAUAGUGAUGACGGAGGGGGUUUUACAUUGGUGUAUAUAUGUGUACAUGCAUCUGCAUCUAUGCAUGUGCCUGCGUGUGUAGGAUUUGUUAUUGUGCGCGUGCGUAUUUGGUGCGUGCAUUGAUGCGUCGAUGUGCCUCUUGAGUGCGCCGCGGCUCUGCGGUAGGCUCGAAAUCCUCUUCUUGACCUUCCUUUAUUUGUAUUGCUGCCAUCUGCUCCCUGUUGCAUCUCCGAUGCAGGAUGAUGGGCGGUAGGUCCACGGGCGCGUAUACGCAUGCUCACGUGUGGCUACAUGUCACCUGACGCGCACCUACGUAGUCACGCACGCAGCACACCAAGACCACUUCUGCCGCUAUGGCCACUAUCAUCAUCACCGUUUCUCCCUCUCCGUGUUUGUUUGCCUGUGCCCUCCUCCCCUUCCCUCCUUCCCGGAUACGCACGCGCGCACUCACGGUAUCAUCUUUAUCCCUUGUGCUUGCCUGUUCGGCUCCUUUUCUCCAUUUCCGUUUGCCCGAUUCUUUCUGACCCUCUCCCUGCCCCCCCCCCUCCUCCUUCUCCUCCCCGUAUACUCUCUACGCCAUAUAUGCUGUUGCUCUCGCGUGUGCGUGUUUGUCAUUAUACGGAUGCCUGUGUGUGUAUGUGUCGUGGCGUGGCCUUUCACCUCUUCUUCUUGUCGGUGUUCCUCCCUCAUCAGCCGAGCCCUACGGCUCUCUUGCCAUCUCUCCUCCUCAACCCUUCCCUGCCUUUCCCUUGCCUGCCUGUGUGCUUUUGUAGUGUAGCGUACUCGGCAUGGAUGUCUGCAUGUGCCUUUCUCUGCAAAUGGGAGGCUAGUGCAGGAACACCCAUGGACACGCAGGAUAGAU
rnacentral:misc_RNA from 1 species